UGCGGAAAGGAUCAUUAUUGAAUAAACUUGAACAGGCUGUUGCUGGUCUCCUCUGGGGGAUUAUGUGCACGCUUGUCUCAUCUUUGUUAUUUCUCCAACACUGUGCACCUUUUGUAGACCCUGGAGCUUUCUGGAUUUUCUGAAAAUUCGAGUCAGGACUGCUGUUGCUGUAAAAAGUCCAGCUUUGCCUUGCAUUUCCAGGGUUCUAUGUCAUUUUUCACAAACCUCAUAUGUUUAGAAUGUUUGGAAAAUAUAAAUAUACAACUUUCAGCAACGGAUCUCUUGGCUCUCGCAUCGAUGAAGAACGCAGCGAAAUGCGAUAAGUAAUGUGAAUUGCAGAAUUCAGUGAAUCAUCGAAUCUUUGAACGCAUCUUGCGCUCCUUGGUAUUCCGAGGAGCAUGCCUGUUUGAGUGUCAUUUAACUUCUCAAACCACAUCAGAUUGAUGUUGGCUUGGAUGUGGGGGUUGUUUUUGCAGGCUUUCUUGUAGAAGGUCGGCUCCCCUGAAAUGAAUUAGUGGUAUCUGAGGCUACUACUGUGGGUGUGAUAACUAUCUAUGCCUUUGGUAUGCCGCAUGAACAGAUUACACCGCUUCUAACAAAA
rnacentral:rRNA from 1 species